GGACGGGUGAGUAAUGUCUGGGAAACUGCCUGAUGGAGGGGGAUAACUACUGGAAACGGUAGCUAAUACCGCAUAACGUCGCAAGACCAAAGAGGGGGACCUUCGGGCCUCUUGCCAUCGGAUGUGCCCAGAUGGGAUUAUCUAGUAGGUGGGGUAACGGCUCACCUAGGCGACGAUCCCUAUCUGGUCUGAGAGGAUGACCACCCACACUGGAACUGAGACACGGUCCAGACUCCUACGGGAGGCAGCAGUGGGGAAUAUUGCACAAUGGGCGCAAGCCUGAUGCACCCAUGCCGCGUGUAUGAAGAAGGCCUUCGGGUUGUAAAGUACUUUCAGCGGGGAGGAAGGGAGUAAAGUUAAUACCUUUGCUCAUUGACGUUACCCGCAGAAGAAGCACCGGCUAACUCCGUGCCAGCAGCCGCGGUAAUACGGAGGGUGCAAGCGUUAAUCGGAAUUACUGGGCGUAAAGCGCACGCAGGCGGUUUGUUAAGUCAUAUGUGAAAUCCCCGGGCUCAACCUGGGAACUGCAUCUGAUACUGGCAAGCUUGAGUCUCGUAGAGGGGGGUAGAAUUCCAGGUGUAGCGGUGAAAUGCGUAGAGAUCUGGAGGAAUACCGGUGGCGAAGGCGGCCCUCUGGACGAAGACUGACGCUCAGGUGCGAAAGCGUGGGGAGCAAACAGGAUUAUAUACUCUGGUAGUCCACGCCGUAAACGAUGUCGACUUGGAGGUUGUGCCCUUGAGGCGUGGCUUCCGGAGCUAACGCGUUAAGUCGACCGCCUGGAGAGUACGGCCGCAAGGAUAAAACUCAAAUGAAUUGACGGGGGGCCCCGCACAAGCGGGUGGAGCAUGUGGUUUUUAUUUCUGAUGCA
rnacentral:rRNA from 1 species